CAGAAUCCAAGCUGACACCCGUCAGUCAGUCAGGGUGCUGGCAGCAGUCCCAUUCAGUGGUGGCUGCAUCCUCCUGCAGGGGCAGAUGUGGCUCAGCUGGAGCAGGGCUCCUGGAGAAGGUGCAGUUUCCUCUGAAGCUCCAGGGAUGAUGUGCAAAGGUCUGGCUUUCCUCUGGGAUCCAGUGGAAAGAAGGUGCCUUGGUGUCCAAAAUGUCAGUUUUUCUCUGGGUAGGAAAGGCUUGGCUCCUGCCCUGGCUGGAGCAUCUCCCAUGGGAUGAUGGAAUUUUAUCAGCCAUGCCCUGGGACUCAGUGGCCAUGAAGAGGAGAUAUCUCCUGGAGGGAGGAUGGGCUGUGGGAAGAUAAAGAUGAUUGCCCAGCUGGUUUAAAGCUGGCCAUGAGCAGAUAAUGUGUGCCAGGAGAUCAGGGGCACUGCCCCACCAGGUGGGACAGAAUCCACAUUUGCAGCCCCAGGCACCAGCCCAGCCCUCCCUGCCCUGCUGGGCUGGGGGUGAAGCUGCUGCCCCCCAGUUUUCAGCAGAGCAGGGCUCAGGGCUGGGCUUUGUGCUGUGGCAGCCACUCAGAGCUGUGCUCUCCUCUCUCCCUCCCCUCCAGUCCUACUGCUCUGACCCCAGCCUGGUCUUGGACCUCAAGAACCUCAUCGUGCUCUUCGCCGACACGCUGCAGGGCUACGGCUUCCCCGUGAACCAGCUCUUCGAGAUGCUGCUGGAGAUCCAGGACCAGUACAGCGAGACCCUGCUGAAGAAAUGGGCUGGGGUCUUCAGAAAUAUCCUUGACUCAGAUAACUACAGCCCCAUCCCGGUGCCAGAUGAAGAAGUUUAUAAGAAAAUCGUUGGGCAGUUCCCAUUCCAGGAUGCUGAACUUGAAAAGGUAAAUCCUGGGAUGGGGAGAGUGGCCUGGCCUGGCUGCUGGGACAGCAGAACCUCACACCCCUGUGGGCACUGA
rnacentral:lncRNA from 12 species